rnacentral:rRNA from 1 species
UCAAGCGAAGAAGAGCGCAAGGGGAAUGCCUUGGCAUCAGGAGCCGAUGAAGGACGUGAUAAGCUGCGAAAAGCUUCGGGGAGCUGCAAAUAAGCUGAGAUCCGGAGAUAUCCGAAUGGGGAAACCCACUAAGAGUAAUCUUAGUAACACAUGUUGAAUCAAAUAGGCAUGUGUGGGGAACCGCCUGAACUGAAACAUCUAAGUAGGGCGAGGAAAAGUAAUCAACCGAGAUUCCGAAAGUAGUGGCGAGCGAAAUCGGAAGAGGCCAAACCGUACGUAGCAAUAUGUGCGGGGUUGUGGACGGCAAUGUCGGUAAGCUUCGUUAGACGAAUGGUCUGGGAAGGCCAGUCAAAGAGUGUGAGAGCCACGUAGUCGAAAAUGAAGGGAACGUAGCCGGAUCCAGAGUACCGCGGGGCACGAGGAAUCCCGUGGGAAGCCGGGGGGACCACCCUCCAAGCCUAAAUACUACCUGAUGACCGAUAGAGGAGCAGUACCGUGAGGGAAAGGUGAAAAGAACCCCGGGAGGGGAGUGAAAGAGUACCUGAAACCUUGUGCUUACAAGCAGUCAAAGCCCGUUAAAGGGUGAUGGCGUACUUUUUGUAGAACGGUCCGGCGAGUUAUAGUAACUGGCAAGGUUAAGACAUUGAGUGUCGAAGCCGAAGGGAAACCGAGUGUGAAGAGCGCGUUUAAGUCAGUUGCCAUAGACCCGAAACCAGGUGACCUAGCCAUGACCAGGCUGAAGUGGAGGUAAAGCUCCAUGGAGGGCCGAACCCACGUUCGUUGCAAUGACCGGGGAUGAGUUGUGGCUAGCGGUGAAAUUCCAAACGAACCUGGAGAUAGCUGGUUCUCCCCGAAAUAGUUUUAGGACUAGCGUUGGCAAUGAGUUUCGCGGUGGUAAAGCACUGAAUGGGCUAGGGGGCGAUAAGCUUACUGAACCCUAUCAAACUAAGAAUGCCGCAGAAAUGCUUACCAGCAGUCAGACUACGAGUAAUAAAAUCCGUGGUCAAAAGGGAAAUAGCCCAGACCCACAGCUAAGGUCCCGAAUACAUGCUAAGUGGAAAACGAUGUGAGAUUGCAGAAACAACCAGGAUGUUGGCUUAGAGGCAGCCACUCGUUCAAAGAGUGCGUAAUAGCUCACUGGUCGAGUGAUCUUGCGCGGAAAAUUUAACGGGGCUAAGCAUGUAACCGAAGCUUGGGAUUCACGAGAAAAGCGUGAGUGGUAGGGGAGCGUCGAAUACGGGGUGAAGUCGCACCGGAAGGAGCGGUGGACUGUAUUCGAGUGAGAAUGCCGGAAUGAGUAGCGAGAAUUAUGUGGGAAUCAUAAUGGCCGAAAAUCUAAGGUUUCCUGGGGAAGGUUCGUCCGCCCAGGGUAAGCCGGGAGCUAAGGCGAGGCCGCAAGGCGUAGUCGAUGCACAUACGGUAGAAAUUCCGUAGCCGGUACAAUUGUUAAUCACGGUGACACAUGAGUAUAGCUCUACCGGGCGUUGGUAGCCCCGGGCGUAAGCGAGUCGAAUGAGACGAAGUGAGUAAAGCUUGUGGCGAGAAAAGCCGUGUGGAUUGGUUGUACUGCCCGUACCGCAAACCGACACAGGUAGAUGAGGAGAAGAUCCUAAGGCCAACGGGAGAAGGGUUGUUAAGGAACUAGGCAAAUUGACCCCGUAACUUCGGAAUAAGGGGUGCCUACGAAAGUAGGUCGCAGAGAAUAGGCCCAAGCAACUGUUUACCAAAAACACAGGUCUCUGCUAAAUCGAAAGAUGACGUAUAGGGGCUGACGCCUGCCCGGUGCUGGAAGGUUAAGAGGAGAGCUUAGGGAAACCGAAGGUUCGAAUUGAAGCCCCAGUAAACGGCGGCCGUAACUAUAACGGUCCUAAGGUAGCGAAAUUCCUUGUCAGGUAAGUUC